rnacentral:lncRNA from 1 species
UGAGAAAAUACCUCCAUAAAAUAGGCAAGCCUGUAGGGCAUUUUUUUUAAUUGUUGCUUGAUGGGGAAGGGCCCAGCCCAUUGUGGGUAGUGCCAUCCCUGGGCUGAUCUUCUACAAGAAAGCAGGCUAUGGAAGCCAAUAAGCAGCACACCACUAUGGUCUCUACAUCAACUCCUGCCUCCAGGUUCCUGCCCUGUUUGAGCUCUUGUCCUGACUUUCUGCAGUGAUGAACAGUGAUGUGGGAAGCCCUAAAGAACAGUAGGACACAUUUACCCAGGCCAGGCGGUGGUGCUGCAUGCCUUUCUACCCAGCACUCUGGAGUCCUAGACAGGUGGAUCUCUGAGCUCAAGGCCAGUCUGGUCUACCGAAUGAAUUCCAGGAGAGCCAGGGAUUUACCAAGAAACCCCGUCUUUAAAAAAACCCAACAACAACAUCCACGGACACUCCAGAACAACAACAUAGACUAACGCACCAGAGUGCUGGACUCAAAGGUACUGAUGACUCCGUGUGAGAAGCGAGAACUCUGGUGCUGCCCCAGCCUUUAUCUCCACCACUCUUACUGUAGUGGAUUUAAGUGAAAGCAAAGCUCCAAGGAAAUGAAGAGAGUUUGAAAGCAACCGACUUUCACAGCUUAGUUGUUUAUGACCAACGAUGAAGCUGGGAUGGUGGCUUGAGCGCGAGCAUCAGACUCUCAGGGAGCCGAGGCAGGCUUUUUGAAAGAAUGAUUACAAAAUGGAAAAAAGAAAGCAACUGAAGAGAAGUGAGGAACUACAACAUUUCCCGUGAGAGAGGGAUUUCCAAAGGCAGGUCACUGAACCUGCUUGGGUUUUGCUUCUUUAGGGCCAUGGCUUAAAGCAGACAAAAGCAGGAAGUGUGCAUGCUGAGAUGCUCAGAGUCUGUCUGCUAUGCACCCAGCUCCCUCCCACAGGAGGAGGGAAAACAGUUGGCCGGAACUGAGGGCGAGCGUGUGUGUGUGUGUGUGUGUGUGUGUGUGUGUGUGUGUGUGUGUCUGCUGAGGGAGUGUGUGUGUCUGCUGAGGGAGAGCCAGAGGCUCUGGGAAAGAAUACUAUGUCCCCUCUGUUUCUCUGUCAGGCAGCGCCAGCCUCAUUUACCUGCUGACAUCUCUGCUGUCAUGAUAUCAACACUACCACUAUGGAUUCAGAAGUUUCUAACCUUUCUAUAAAAGUUCUAUAUAAAUUUAAGUAUUUUGUUUUUCCUUCAAUAUAAAAUAUAUAACU